rnacentral:rRNA from 1 species
AGAGUUUGAUCAUGGCUCAGAGCGAACGCUGGCGGUAUGCUUAACACAUGCAAGUCGAGCGAGAAAGUGACUUCGGUCAUGAGUACAGCGGCGGACGGGUGAGUAAUACAUGGAUAAUCUGCCUUUAGGACUGGGACAACUCAGGGAAACUUGAGCUAAUACCGGAUAAGACUACAGAAUCUACGGAUUCAGCGGUAAAAGGUGGCUUCGGCUAUCACCUAGAGAUGAGUCCAUGUCCCAUCAGGUAGUUGGUGAGGUAACGGCUCACAAAGCCUAAGACGGGUAGCCGACCUUAGCGGGUGAUCGGCCACACGGGGACUGAGACACGGCCCCGACUCCUACGGGAGGCAGCAGUGGGGAAUAUUGGACAAUGGGCGAAAGCCUGAUCCAGCAAUACCGCGUGAGGGAUGAAGGCCCUAGGGUCGUAAACCUCUGUCAGUUGGAACGAUGGGUCUGUAGGUUAAUACCCUACAGACUUGACGGUACCUUCAAAGGAAGCCCCGGCUAACUCCGUGCCAGCAGCCGCGGUAAUACGGAGGGGGCAAGCGUUGCUCGGAAUUACUGGGCGUAAAGGGUCCGCAGGUGGCUUUAUAAGUUAGAUGUGAAAUCCCAGGGCUUAACCCUGGAACUGCAUCUAAUACUGUAAGGCUUGAGUACAGGAGAGGUUGGCGGAAUUCCCGGUGUAGCGGUGAAAUGCGUAGAUAUCGGGAGGAACACCAGUGGCGAAGGCGGCCAACUGGCCUGUUACUGACACUCAGGGACGAAAGCGUGGGGAGCAAACGGGAUUAGAUACCCCGGUAGUCCACGCCCUAAACGAUGGAUGCUAGGUGUAGGGAUGAAAAUCUCUGUGCCGUAGUUAACGCAUUAAGCAUCCCGCCUGGGGAGUACGAUCGCAAGAUUUAAACUCAAAGGAAUUGACGG